GACGAACGCUGGCGGCGUGCUUAACACAUGCAAGUCGAACGAUGAAGCCUUUCGGGGUGGAUUAGUGGCGAACGGGUGAGUAACACGUGGGUAAUCUGCCCUGCACUCUGGGAUAAGCCCGGGAAACUGGGUCUAAUACCGGAUAUGACUUUCUUACGCAUGUAGGAAGGCGGAAAGUUCCGGCGGUGCAGGAUGAACCCGCGGCCUAUCAGCUUGUUGGUGGGGUAAUGGCCUACCAAGGCGACGACGGGUAGCCGGCCUGAGAGGGCGACCGGUCACACUGGGACUGAGACACGGCCCAGACUCCUACGGGAGGCAGCAGUGGGGAAUAUUGCACAAUGGGCGAAAGCCUGAUGCAGCGACGCCGCGUGAGGGAUGACGGCCUUCGGUUGUAAACUCUUCGUCACGGGACGAAGCGAGAGUGACGGUACCGU
rnacentral:rRNA from 1 species